AGGAGACUGCCGGGGUCAACUCGGAGGAAGGUGGGGAUGACGUCAAAUCAUCAUGCCCUUUAUGUCUUGGGCUUCACGCAUGCUACAAUGGCUGGUACAGAGAGAGGCGAACCCGUGAGGGCAAGCGAAUCCCUUAAAGCCAGUCUCAGUUCGGAUCGUAGUCUGCAAUUCGACUACGUGAAGUCGGAGUCGCUAGUAAUCGCAGAUCAGCAACUUUUGCGGUGAAUACGUUCCCGGGCCUUGUACACACCG
rnacentral:rRNA from 1 species